rnacentral:rRNA from 1 species
GAUGAACGCUGGCGGCGUGCCUAAUACAUGCAAGUCGAGCGAACGGACGAGAAGCUUGCUUCUCUGAUGUUAGCGGCGGACGGGUGAGUAACACGUGGAUAACCUACCUAUAAGACUGGGAUAACUUCGGGAAACCGGAGCUAAUACCGGAUAAUAUUUUGAACCGCAUGGUUCAAAAGUGAAAGACGGUCUUGCUGUCACUUAUAGAUGGAUCCGCGCUGCAUUAGCUAGUUGGUAAGGUAACGGCUUACCAAGGCAACGAUGCAUAGCCGCCCUGAGAGGGUGAUUCGCCACCCUGGAACUGAGACUGGUCCCAGACUCCUGCGGGAGGAAGCAGUACGGAAUCUUACGCAAUGGGCGAAUGCCUGACGGAGCAACGCCGCGUGAGUGAUGAAGGUCUUCGGCUCGUAAAACUCUGUUAUUAGGAAAGAACAUAUGUGUAAGUACCUGUGCACAUCUUGACGGUACCUAAUCAGAAAGCCCCGGCUAACUACGUG